GAUGAACGCUGGCGGCGUGCCUAAUACAUGCAAGUCGAGCGAACAAACGAGGAGCUUGCUCCUCUGACGUUAGCGGCGGACGGGUGAGUAACACGUGGAUAACCUACCUAUAAGACUGGGAUAACUUCGGGAAACCGGAGCUAAUACCGGAUAAUAUAUUGAACCGCAUGGUUCAAUAGUGAAAGACGGUUUUGCUGUCACUUAUAGAUGGAUCCGCGCCGCAUUAGCUAGUUGGCAAGGUAACGGCUUACCAAGGCAACGAUGCGUAGCCGACCUGAGAGGGUGAUCGGCCACACUGGAACUGAGACACGGUCCAGACUCCUACGGGAGGCAGCAGUAGGGAAUCUUCCGCAAUGGGCGAAAGCCUGACGGAGCAACGCCGCGUGAGUGAUGAAGGUCUUCGGAUCGUAAAACUCUGUUAUUAGGGAAGAACAAAUGUGUAAGUAACUAUGCACGUCUUGACGGUACCUAAUCAGAAAGCCACGGCUAACUACGUG
rnacentral:rRNA from 1 species